UACGUAGGCAGCAAGCGUUGUUCGGAGUUACUGGGCGUAAAGGGUGUGUAGGCUGGUUCUUUUAAGUUUGCUGUGAAAUCUCCCGGCUUAACCGGGAGGGUGCGGUGAAUACUGAGGGACUAGAGUACGGGAGAGGAAAGUGGAAUUCCUGGUGUAGCGGUGAAAUGCGUAGAUAUCAGGAGGAACACCGGUGGUGUAGACGGCUUUCUGGACCGUAACUGACGCUGAGACACGAAAGCGUGGGUAGCAAACAGG
rnacentral:rRNA from 1 species